rnacentral:rRNA from 1 species
CCUACGGGAGGCAGCAGUGAGGAAUAUUGGUCAAUGGACGAGAGUCUGAACCAGCCAAGUAGCGUGAAGGAUGACUGCCCUAUGGGUUGUAAACUUCUUUUAUAUGGGAAUAAAAUGUUCCACGUGUGGGAUUUUGUAUGUACCAUAUGACUAAGGAUCGGCUAACUCCGUGCCAGCAGCCGCGGUAAUACGGAGGAUCCGAGCGUUAUCCGGAUUUAUUGGGUUUAAAGGGAGCGUAGGUGGAUUGUUAAGUCAGUUGUGAAAGUUUGCGGCUCAACCGUAAAAUUGCAGUUGAAACUGGCAGGCUUGAGUACAGUAGAGGUGGGCGGAAUUCGUGGUGUAGCGGUGAAAUGCUUAGAUAUCACGAAGAACUCCGAUUGCGAAGGCAGCUCACUGGACUGCAACUGACACUGAGGCUCGAAAGUGUGGGUAUCAAACAAGAUUAGAUACCCGAGUAGUC